CGACUUACGUUGAAAAGUGAGCGGAUGAACUGAGGGUAGCGGAGAAAUUCCAAUCGAACCUGGAGAUAGCUGGUUCUCUCCGAAAUAGCUUUAGGGCUAGCCUCAAGUGAUGAUUAUUGGAGGUAGAGCACUGUUUGGACGAGGGGCCCCUCUCGGGUUACCGAAUUCAGACAAACUCCGAAUGCCAAUUAAUUUAACUUGGGAGUCAGAACAUGGGUGAUAAGGUCCGUGUUCGAAAGGGAAACAGCCCAGACCACCAGCUAAGGUCCCAAAAUAUAUGUUAAGUGGAAAAGGAUGUGGCGUUGCCCAGACAACUAGGAUGUUGGCUUAGAAGCAGCCAUCAUUUAAAGAGUGCGUAAUAGCUCACUAGUCGAGUGACACUGCGCCGAAAAUGUACCGGGGCUAAACAUAUUACCGAAGCUGUGGAUUGUCCUUUGGACAAUGGUAGGAGAGCGUUCUAAGGGCGUUGAAGCAUGAUCGUAAGGACAUGUGGAGCGCUUAGAAGUGAGAAUGCCGGUGUGAGUAGCGAAAGACGGGUGAGAAUCCCGUCCACCGAUUGACUAAGGUUUCCAGAGGAAGGCUCGUCCGCUCUGGGUUAGUCGGGUCCUAAGCUGAGGCCGACAGGCGUAGGCGAUGGAUAACAGGUUGAUAUUCCUGUACCACCUAUAAUCGUUUUAAUCGAUGGGGGGACGCAGUAGGAUAGGCGAAGCGUGCGAUUGGAUUGCACGUCUAAGCAGUAAGGCUGAGUAUUAGGCAAAUCCGGUACUCAUUAAGGCUGAGCUGUGAUGGGGAGAAGACAUUGUGUCUUCGAGUCGUUGAUUUCACACUGCCGAGAAAAGCCUCUAGA
rnacentral:rRNA from 1 species